rnacentral:rRNA from 1 species
AGAGUUUGAUCCUGGCUCAGAAUCAACGCUGGCGGCGUGCCUAACACAUGCAAGUCGAACGAGAAAGUGGAGCAAUCCAUGAGUAAAGUGGCGCACGGGUGAGUAACACGUGACUAACCUACCCUUGAGUGGGGGAUAACCUAGGGAAACCUGGGCUAAUACCGCAUAAUACCUUCGGGUCAAAGGAGCAAUUCGCUUAAGGAGGGGGUCGCGGCCGAUUAGUUAGUUGGCGGGGUAAUGGCCCACCAAGACGAUGAUCGGUAUCCGGCCUGAGAGGGCGCACGGACACACUGGAACUGAAACACGGUCCAGACUCCUACGGGAGGCAGCAGUGGGGAAUUUUGCGCAAUGGGGGAAACCCUGACGCAGCAACGCCGCGUGGAGGAUGAAGCCCCUUGGGGCGUAAACUCCUUUCGAUCGGGACGAUUAUGACGGUACCGGAAGAAGAAGCCCCGGCUAACUUCGUGCCAGCAGCCGCGGUAAUACGAGGGGGGCGAGCGUUGUUCGGAAUUAUUGGGCGUAAAGGGUGCGUAGGCGGUUCAGUAAGUCUUGUGUGAAAUCCUCGGGCUCAACUCGAAGUCUGCAUGAGAAACUGCUGGGCUUGAGUAUGGGAGAGGUGAGUGGAAUUCCCGGUGUAGCGGUGAAAUGCGUAGAUAUUCGGAAGAACACCGUGGCGAAGGCGGCUCACUGGCCCGUUACCGACGCUCAGGCGCGACAGCGUGGGGAGCAAACAGGAUUAGAUACCCUAGUAGUCC